AUUCAGAUAUUGCUGGGAAAAGAACGACUCUCUGUAAAAAGUUGGAUCCAUGCGAUAAAAUUAGGAUCUAUAUGAUAUGAGUACCCCAGGGAUUCCUAUCACCGAUAUCUACCAAAUGUUUGAAGUUGUCGUUUUUACUUCGUGAUAUCCGAUUCGGCUUGGCUGUCUAACGAAGUAAGUCAUUUUGCUGUAGACUCCCUAAACCUAUGCAGAUAGCAAGCCAGACAACAAUAUGCAGGAAUUUUCUAGACUUCCUACAUUCGGACAUGUUUCUAGUCCUCUUUAUUGUAGUGGUUGGACUCGGUAAACAGCGUGUCAUAAACGUCAUGAUGCAGUGUUCCACGGACCCAGUCCAGAAGUAUUGAGUUCACGCCGAAGUUGACGUCUUUGUACCUACAAGUCAAUAGUAUCAGCAUUAUACCAUUGAUGUAGGGGAUAGUUUAGUAUGUUUAUUACGAAUGGGAUGAGUAUAAUUGACUGCCUUACUUUCUAUGGUUCUGUUGAAAUGAACUAUCACUCGAGUGAAACAUUAGGUCAUUAUACAUGGUGACCAUAGUCAGGAACAAGUAAACCCCUUGAAAUAAAAAUGUUAAAGUUCAAUAUAUAUCGGAUGGACUGUUAGUUUGAUAACAAACUUACUGUUGCAGAGACGGUACAAAAGAGCAAAACGGUGAUUUAUGAUAUCAAUAAUCUGUUAUGAAUGAAAAAUGAAAGACAAUUUAUUGGUAAAACUCGUUUGUUUUGUUAUAAGAACUUGAUAUUGAAUUUAGUUUUAUUACUAUAUAAAACCAAAACGUUUAUCCGAUUUUUCUCCAUGACAAUUGCUGAAAAAUUGUUGUUACCUAUGUGUGUUGGAAACAUGUAUAUAGGUAGUAGACUCUGCAACAACAUCGCCACACACUCCACUGGGUGCAUCACCAUUAAACUCCACGUGGUCUCCUUGGGCCGAUGGCGCCAGAAGUGGAUAUUUUUAUACAGCAUUGGCGAAUGAAAAGUACGAUGGCGAUAGUAUGAGGAGACUUCGUAAUACAAAAAUAGCGCGGGAACUGACACGGCAAAAUACAACCAACCCCAAUCUGACACAUCAUUAUAGAGGCGGGAAUAACCUGGAAUACAGGGAAAUGAAGAAUACUUAACUUAGGCUUUUGAUUUUUUACAUGUUCAUCGAUGUCCUUUAUCACUUUAAAAUUUUUAUUAGAGCCACUAAGUACAUAGUGCUAUUCUGUUUCAUCUUUCCAUACCAAUUUUUUUUUAGGGAGGAGCUUAAGUUUAUACUUAGCUCAGACAUGGUCAAUAUUUUCAAUAAUAAUACAAAUCUGUGAUUUCUGUCGAAAGUUUGUGUAUAAUAGUUACAAUGUAGCAUGAAUAAACCGCGGGCCUGUGGUUCAUAACUGUGACAACAAAAUUUUCAAAAAAUUGGUAUUUUACACAAACAAGAAAUGUUUAUAAGAUAAAAUUAAGCAAAAACAUUUAAGACAUUUUAUUUUUAGGAAAAAGGAUCAAAUAAGCUCGAGGAAGCUCAGAUAAGAAGGAUAUUUCGUAACGUGUGUAAAGGUGUAUAAUCACAUAAGUUCAAACACAAACCAUUGCAAAUUUUAGUUGACAUUUAGUAAAUGUAUCUCAAUACCUUUAUUUGAUGUGAACCAGGCCAGUAGAGCAGAAACAAAGGACAUCACUGCGACAUUAAAGGAGCUGAACAUUGCGUCAUUGAAGAGUGAAGAAUCUUCCUCGAUGUCACCAUAUCCCUUCAACAAAUACAAAGUAUUGUACAUGUAACUUACUAGUAUACAGUGAAAUUAAUAUAUGGAAUGUUUU
rnacentral:sRNA from 1 species